rnacentral:sRNA from 1 species
UGACGUCGGCGAGAGCGCAGUUGCCCUG